CUUGAAGUCCUAUUUAAAAUUACGUACAGGUGAGAAAAUGAGGGCGUGGGAGAAUGAAAAUACGUUUUUAAUGCAAAUACCUGAAAAAGUGGGUCGACCGAACCAGAGAGAUGGUUCCAUCUGAGGAGUAAGAUUUCAAGUUUUGCAUCUCUUUUCGUCUGCUUCAAUGUCUCUCUUCGGGUGAGUUUUUCUCUUUCCUCCUUUUUCUGCUUAGUUUUUGGUUUUAGUGGUUUGAUUUCUCUUUAAUUUUAUCUCUUAUCUUUUAGGUCUUCUGAAGAGGAACACUGUUUUUAAUUUUGUAGUGUUACAAGAAAUUAGACACCUUCUUUCCAUUUUCCUCAGCAAUGUAUGUGUUUCGUUCCUG
rnacentral:lncRNA from 1 species